GACGAACGCUGGCGGCGUGCUUAACACGUGCAAGUCGAACGGAAAGGCGCUUCUAUGGUCUGCUGCUCGAGUGGCGAACGGGUGAGUAACAGGUGAGUGACCUGCACGUGACUAUGGGAUAACUUCAGGGAACUGGGGCGAAUACCGGAUAUGAGCAUCUGCUGCAUGGUGGGGGUUGGGAAGGGUCGGCGGUUGGGGAUGGACUCGCGUCGUAUCAGCUUGCGGGUGGGGUAGUGGCUUACCAAGGCUUUGACGGGUAGACGGCCUGAGAGGGUGACCUGCACCAUUGGGACGGAGAUACGGCACAGACUCCUACGGGAGGCAGCAGUGGGGUAUAGUGCAUAAUGGGCGGAAGCCAGACCCAGCAAAGCCGCGUGCCGGAUGACGGCCUUCGUGUCGUAAUCCGAUGCCGCCUCUGCCGAGGAGUGAGUGACGGUACUGGGUAAAGAAGCCCCGGCUAACUACGUG
rnacentral:rRNA from 1 species